UGCGCAUGAGGUUAGAAAAUCUGCUAGGCUAACACCGGAUAGCGAAAGCUUGAGUAGGAGAUGAAGGGUUCGCACAGUCCUUCCAUGCGCU
rnacentral:tRNA from 12 species